rnacentral:rRNA from 1 species
ACGAACUCUGGUAUUGAUUGGUGCUUGCAUCAUGAUUUACAUUUGAGUGAGUGGCGAACUGGUGAGUAACACGUGGGAAACCUGCCCAGAAGCGGGGGAUAACACCUGGAAACAGAUGCUAAUACCGCAUAACAACUUGGACCGCAUGGUCCGAGUUUGAAAGAUGGCUUCGGCUAUCACUUUUGGAUGGUCCCGCGGCGUAUUAGCUAGAUGGUGGGGUAAUGGCUCACCAUGGCAAUGAUACGUAGCCGACCUGAGAGGGUAAUCGGCCACAUUGGGACUGAGACACGGCCCAAACUCCUACGGGAGGCAGCAGUAGGGAAUCUUCCACAAUGGACGAAAGUCUGAUGGAGCAACGCCGCGUGAGUGAAGAAGGGUUUCGGCUCGUAAAACUCUGUUGUUAAAGAAGAACAUAUCUGAGAGUAACUGUUCAGGUAUUGACGGUAUUUAACCAGAAAGCCACGGCUAACUACGUGCCAGCAGCCGCGGUAAUACGUAGGUGGCAAGCGUUGUCCGGAUUUAUUGGGCGUAAAGCGAGCGCAGGCGGUUUUUUAAGUCUGAUGUGAAAGCCUUCGGCUCAACCGAAGAAGUGCAUCGGAAACUGGGAAACUUGAGUGCAGAAGAGGACAGUGGAACUCCAUGUGUAGCGGUGAAAUGCGUAGAUAUAUGGAAGAACACCAGUGGCGAAGGCGGCUGUCUGGUCUGUAACUGACGCUGAGGCUCGAAAGUAUGGGUAGCAAACAGGAUUAGAUACCCUGGUAGUCCAUACCGUAAACGAUGAAUGCUAAGUGUUGGAGGGUUUCCGCCCUUCAGUGCUGCAGCUAACGCAUUAAGCAUUCCGCCUGGGGAGUACGGCCGCAAGGCUGAAACUCAAAGGAAUUGACGGGGGCCCGCACAAGCGGUGGAGCAUGUGGUUUAAUUCGAAGCUACGCGAAGAACCUUACCAGGUCUUGACAUACUAUGCAAAUCUAAGAGAUUAGACGUUCCCUUCGGGGACAUGGAUACAGGUGGUGCAUGGUUGUCGUCAGCUCGUGUCGUGAGAUGUUGGGUUAAGUCCCGCAACGAGCGCAACCCUUAUUAUCAGUUGCCAGCAUUAAGUUGGGCACUCUGGUGAGACUGCCGGUGACAAACCGGAGGAAGGUGGGGAUGACGUCAAAUCAUCAUGCCCCUUAUGACCUGGGCUACACACGUGCUACAAUGGAUGGUACAACGAGUUGCGAACUCGCGAGAGUAAGCUAAUCUCUUAAAGCCAUUCUCAGUUCGGAUUGUAGGCUGCAACUCGCCUACAUGAAGUCGGAAUCGCUAGUAAUCGCGGAUCAGCAUGCCGCGGUGAAUACGUUCCCGGGCCUUGUACACACCGCCCGUCACACCAUGAGAGUUUGUAACACCCAAAGUCGGUGGGGUAACCUUUUA